UGCGUACGGUAACAUGGAAAAGCUUGCUUUUCUGAUGACGAGUGGCGCACGGGUGCGUAACGCGUAUGCAAUCUACCUUUUACAGGGGGAUAGCCCAGAGAAAUUUGGAUUAAUAUCCCAUAGUAUCAAGAGUCGGCAUCGGCAUUUGAUUAAAGAUUUAUCGGUAAAAGAUGAGCAUGCGUCCUAUUAGCUAGAUGGUGUGGUAACGGCACACCAUGGCAACGAUAGGUAGGGGCCCUGAGAGGGGGAUCCCCCACACUGGUACUGAGACACGGACCAGACUCCUACGGGAGGCAGCAGUGAGGAAUAUUGGACAAUGGGCGCAAGCCUGAUCCAGCCAUGCCGCGUGCAGGAAGACUGCCCUAUGGGUUGUAAACUGCUUUUAUACGGGAAGAAACACUCCCUCGUGAGGGAGCUUGACGGUACCGUAAGAAUAAGGAUCGGCUAACUCCGUGCCAGCAGCCGCGGUAAUACGGAGGAUCCAAGCGUUAUCCGGAAUCAUUGGGUUUAAAGGGUCCGUAGGUGGAUAAUUAAGUCAGAGGUGAAAUCCUGCAGCUCAACUGUAGAAUUGCCUUUGAUACUGGUUAUCUUGAGUCAUUAUGAAGUGGUUAGAAUAUGUAGUGUAGCGGUGAAAUGCAUAGAUAUUACAUAGAAUACCAAUUGCGAAGGCAGAUCACUAAUAAUGUACUGACACUGAUGGACGAAAGCGUGGGGAGCGAA
rnacentral:rRNA from 1 species